UACAGAGGGUGCAAGCGUUGUUCGGAAUUAUUGGGCGUAAAGAGCUCGUAGGCGGUUUGUUGCGUCGGCUGUGAAAUCCCGAGGCUCAACCUCGGGUCUGCAGUCGAUACGAGCAAACUAGAGUGUUGCAGGGGAGACUGGAAUUCCUGGUGUAGCGGUGAAAUGCGCAGAUAUCAGGAGGAACACCGGUGGCGAAGGCGGGUCUCUGGGCAACAACUGACGC
rnacentral:rRNA from 1 species